GUUCCUGUGCCUUUCUGCUGCCUGUCUCCAGCCCGAGGCUGCUCCUCUGCCCUGCUCCCACUCGAGGCCUCUUCUCCCUUCCCCAGCUGCUGCCAAGGAAGGAGGAUAUGGUGCCCUGGUGACACACGGAGGUUCCUGUGCCCACAGUGCCUUUCUGCUGCCCCUCUGCUCCAUCCCUCUGCCCUUGUCCCACACAGCGGGGCACAAAGGGAAAGGGCAUCAACGAGAAGUUCUGGGUCAGUUCUUGUUCCAUGCUUGCCAGUGACCUCGAGACAAAAAGGGGUGGCUGCACUCACUCCAGGGUACGUGGCAGGAAAAAGGAGCAAGUAGAGAGACAUCAUGGCUUCCCUGGGAUCUUUUCUCCUUUGACCCUCGCAGGCAGUGACCAGUGACUGGGAAAU
ensembl:lncRNA